rnacentral:rRNA from 1 species
UCUUAGCUGUAAACGAUGGAUACUGGGUGUAGGGUGUCGAAGCUCUGCGCCGAAGCAAACGCGAUAAGUAUCCCGCCUGGGGAGUACGAUCGCAAGAUUGAAACUCAAAGGAAUUGACGGGGACCCGCACAAGCGGUGGAGCAUGUGGUUUAAUUUGAUGCAACGCGAGGAACCUUACCAGGUCUUGACAUCUAUAGAAGUUUUUAGAGAUAAGAAUGUGCUGCUUGCAGAAC